GAAAUGCGAUAAGUAGUGUGAAUUGCAGAAUUCAGUGAAUCAUCGAAUCUUUGAACGCACAUUGCGCCCUUUGGUAUUCCAAAGGGCAUGCCUGUUCGAGAGUCAUUUGUACCCUCAAGCUUUGCUUGGUGUUGGGCGUCUUGUCUCCAGUUCGCUGGAGACUCGCCUUAAAGUAAUUGGCAGCCGGCCUACUGGUUUCGGAGCGCAGCACAAGUCGCGCUCUCUUCCAGCCAAGGUCAGCAUCCACAAAGCCUUUUUUCAACUUUUGACCUCGGAUCAGGUAGGGAUACCCGCUGAACUUAAGC
rnacentral:misc_RNA from 1 species